AUUGAACGCUGGCGGCAGGCUUAACACAUGCAAGUCGAGCGGGGUGAUGGUGCUUGCACUAUCACUUAGCGGCGGACGGGUGAGUAAUGCUUAGGAAUCUGCCUAUUAGUGGGGGACAACAUCUCGAAAGGGAUGCUAAUACCGCAUACGUCCUACGGGAGAAAGCAGGGGAUCACUUGUGACCUUGCGCUAAUAGAUGAGCCUAAGUCGGAUUAGCUAGUUGGUGGGGUAAGGGCCUACCAAGGCGACGAUCUGUAGCGGGUCUGAGAGGAUGAUCCGCCACACUGGGACUGAGACACGGCCCAGACUCCUACGGGAGGCAGCAGUGGGGAAUAUUGGACAAUGGGGGGAACCCCGAUCCAGCCAUGCCGCGUGUGUGAAGAAGGCCUUAUGGUUAUAAAGCACUUUAAGCGAGGAGGAGGCUCUUUUGGUUAAUACCCAAGAUGAGUGGACGUUACUCGCAGAAUAAGCACCGGCUAACUCUGUGCCAGCAGCCGCAGUAA
rnacentral:rRNA from 1 species